rnacentral:lncRNA from 1 species
AACUCAAAUAUACAGUAUUGUCUGUGAAUAAUAUAUUAAACUAUAUAGUGCACAGUACAUUUGGCUGGGCAGAAAUGCUUGUUUUCCAUUCAGAGAAUCUAAUUGAAUUAGAACCUUUUCAGAAUGUACGAGAGGUCUAUGCUAUCUUGUUGAUUUUGUUCCUGUAAUAUGCUUGACCUCUACAAGUUUAAAUUCUUUACUGGUGACAAAAUUAGAAUCGCACUCCCGGCGACGUGCGUCUGUUUUGGAUAUGCAUUUUUAAAUUUGCAUAUCUUAAUUUUGGUAUGUCCUAUCUAUUUCCAACAAAAUUCUCUUAAUUCCUACAAGUCUCCUCUCUCAAACUAUGUGAAAACUGUUCCACUAUGUUUAUUCUUUAAUUUUUAAUUAUGUAAUUUGAUAUCGCAUUUAUGCAAAUUUAAACAAGAACUUUUAAAAACUACUAUUCAAACAAUUUAUAGCUUAAUAGACUUGUGCCAACUGUUUUAUUUAAUUAACAAAACUCCUACUGCAAUAAAAAUAGCAAUGUCGGGUGUCUGAGGAGGGAGAAGUCGGACGCUACUGUGUUGCGUACAUCAUUCUAAAGGUAAACAAAAACAGUCUCCUGCUUUAUGCUUUGUUUAGAGAACUAUAUCUUUUAAACUAUUAUAUCUAAUGACUUUUUUAGUUAUUCAUAAACAUUAUUGUG